rnacentral:lncRNA from 1 species
UGAGGCGGGCAGGUCUGGGUAUAGGAGUACCCAGGAGUUCCCAACUAUGGGAACUAUGGCUAUGCUAACAGUGAGUAUAGUGCCUGUGAGGAAGAAAAUGAGACUCACUGAAAGUCUGAGAAGCAAAGUCACUGCUACAAAAUCUCUUUCCAUUGAAGUGGACCAUGAAGCUAAAAAUCAAAAUAAAUUAUUAGCUGAAAUGGACUCAUGAUUUGAU